GACGAACGCUGGCGGCGUGCCUAACACAUGCAAGUCGAACGGGACCAGGGGCAACUCUGGUUCAGUGGCGGACGGGUGCGUAACACGUGAGGAACAUGACCUUCGGCGGGGGAGUAGCCGGCCCAACGGCCGGGUGGUACCGCGUACGACCUUUCGGGGACAUCCCUGGAUGGUGAAAGCAGCAAUGCGCCGAUGGAGUGCUUCGCGGCCUAUCAGCUAGUUGGUGAGGUAACGGCNCACCAAGGCGACGACGGGUAGCUGGUCUGAGAGGAUGGCCAGCCACAUUGGGACUGAGACACGGCCCAGACUCCUACGGGAGGCAGCAGUGGGGAAUAUUGCGCAAUGGACGAAAGUCUGACGCAGCGACGCCGCGUGUGGGAU
rnacentral:rRNA from 1 species